rnacentral:rRNA from 1 species
GUAGGGAAUCUUCCGCAAUGGAGAAAGUCUGACGGAGCAACGCCGCGUGAGCGAAGAAGGUCUUCGGAUCGUAAAGCUCUGUUGUCAGGGAAGAACAAGUGCCGUUCGAACAGGGCGGUACCUUGACGGUACCUGACGAGGAAGCCACGGCUAACUACGUGCCAGCAGCCGCGGUAAUACGUAGGUGGCAAGCGUUGUCCGGAAUUAUUGGGCGUAAAGCGCGCGCAGGCGGUUCCUUAAGUCUGAUGUGAAAUCUCGCGGCUCAACCGCGAGCGGCCAUUGGAAACUGGGGAACUUGAGUGCAGGAGAGGGGAGCGGAAUUCCACGUGUAGCGGUGAAAUGCGUAGAGAUGUGGAGGAACACCAGUGGCGAAGGCGGCUCUCUGGCCUGUAAC